UGGAAGGAAGCUAUGGAUAAUGAAAUUUCAGCAUUGGAAACUAAUCAGACUUGGGAAUUUGUAGACAUGCCCCCGUCUAAGAAAAUAGUGGGAUGCAAAUGGGUAUACAAAGUGAAGCAUAAUCCAGACGGCAGUAUUGAACGUUACAAGGCCAGGCUUGUGGCUAAAGGUUAUACCCAAAUCCCUGGGUUGGACUACAUUGGGACUUUCAGCCCAGUAGCUAAGAUGACAACUAUAAGAACUCUUCUUGCUGUGGCUACUGUUAAAGGUUGGUUCCUACACCAGUUGGACAUCAUCAAGAGCAC